CAAAGACACAAAUUAACCCUGCUGCAUAAGUAAUUGAGUUCAUCCAUGAUAGGCCCCCGAGGUUUGCCUUGGACUCAGAUGCCUAAGCAUCAAGACGCAAAAAGAAAAAUCUCACCCUAAAACUGAAAUUAUCCCACUUGCUAAUGGAAGAAUAAUAUACAGCUACAACAUUUCCUGUACACAAAUUACAAAACUAAGAACUACUUUUACAGUAAGUCAAAUUACUAGAUCAUAUUUUUA
rnacentral:lncRNA from 1 species